rnacentral:rRNA from 1 species
GAUGAACGCUGGCGGCGUGCCUAAUACAUGCAAGUCGAGCGAACAGACGAGGCGCUUGCUCCUCUGACGUUAGCGGCGGACGGGUGAGUAACACGUGGAUAACCUACCUAUAAGACUGGGAUAACUUCGGGAAACCGGAGCUAAUACCGGAUAAUAUAUUGAACCGCAUGGUUCAAUAGUGAAAGACGGUUUUGCUGUCACUUAUAGAUGGAUCCGCGCCGCAUUAGCUAGUUGGUAAGGUAACGGCUUACCAAGGCAACGAUGCGUAGCCGACCUGAGAGGGUGAUCGGCCACACGGGAACUGAGACACGGUCCAGACUCCUACGGGAGGCAGCAGUAGGGAAUCUUACGCAAUGGGCGAAAGCCUGACGGAGCAACGCCGCGUGAGUGAUGAAGGUCUUCGGAUCGUAAAACUCUGUUAUUAGGGAAGAACAAAUGUGUAAGUAACUAUGCACGUCUUGACGGUACCUAAUCAGAAAGCCACGGCUAACUACGUG